GCUAAAAAUCUAGCUCUACCCCCAACCUAUAACCAGACUCUCCCGACCGCCUUUCAAUUAAAACAUUUUUACACUUUAGUAAAGGAGAUUGAAAAACUUUCCGAAGCAAUAAACCUAGUACCGCAAGGGAAAGAUGAAAUACUAAUGAAAUACCCUCAAGCACAAAAAAGUAAAGCUUAACCCUUGUACCUUUUGCAUCAUGGUUCAACUAGUCUAAUCAAGCAAAAAGAAUUUCAGUUUGACUUCCCGAAACUAGGCGAGCUACUUCGAGGCAGCUUAAUGAGCUAACCCGUCUCUGUGGCAAAAGAGUGGGAAGACCCCUAAGUAGUGGCGACAUACCUACCGAGCCUAGUGAUAGCUGGUUACCCGAGAAAAGAAUUUUAGUCCAACCUAAAGUCUUUGCAUUAUUAUAAAACAUCUCUUUUGACUUUAGAGCAAUUCAAAUAGGGUACAGCCUAUUUGAAACAGGAUACAACCUCAUCUGAAGGGUAAACUUAUUUUAUUUAACCUCAAGUGGGCCUAAAAGCAGCCAUCUUUUUAAAAGCGUCACAGCUUAAUACUAAUAAAUCUCUCAAUUUCAUCUCCCAACUCCAACCCUCUGCCAAUACCGAGUAAUUCUAUAGCCUUAUAGAAAAUUUUAUGUUGAAACUAGUAACAUGAAGAAAGACCUUCUCUUAAGUGUAAGCAUAAAUCAGAACGGACCGACCACUGACAAUUAACGCUUAUGAACACACAUUAGCAACCCAUGCUAGAAAAACCUAAUUCUAAUUAACGUUAACCUAACACAAGAACACUUCAAGAAAGAUUAAAAGAAGGAGAAGGAACUCGGCAAAUAUUAACCCCGCCUGUUUACCAAAAACAUCGCCUCUUGAAUAAAAAUAAGAGGUCCAGCCUGCCCAGUGACCAAUGUUCAACGGCCGCGGUAUCCUAACCGUGCGAAGGUAGCGUAAUCACUUGUUCUUUAAAUGAGGACUAGUAUGAACGGCAUCACGAGGGUUAUACUGUCUCCUCCAUCUAAUCAGUGAAACUAAUCUCCCCGUGAAGAAGCGGGGAUAAACCUAUAAGACGAGAAGACCCUAUGGAGCUUUAAACUUUCCCUCAAGCAUCACAAUAACUUUUCAAGUCACAGACUUUCCUUAUUUAUCCUGAUGCAGUGUAAGCAAGUUUUAGGUUGGGGUGACCACGGAGUACAAAAAAACCUCCACGCUGAACAUAGGCCUCUAAACCUUAAACAAAGGACCACAGCCCAAUGUAUUAAUAAAUUAACAUUCAUUGACCCAAUAUAUUUUUGACCAACGAACCAAGUUACCCUAGGGAUAACAGCGCAAUCCUCUUCAAGAGUCCUUAUCGACAAGGGGGUUUACGACCUCGAUGUUGGAUCAGGGUAUCCCAGUGGUGCAGCCGCUACUAAUGGUUCGUUUGUUCAACGAUUAAAACCCU
rnacentral:rRNA from 1 species